AUGAAUAUUGCCCUCCUAUCCCGCUGGCUCUGGCGCAUUUUUCAAGGGCAUGACGGCCUUUGGUUAGACAUCAUCCGGAUCAAGUACCUGUGUGGGCAACCCCUGACCUUCUGUCAAAGGUCCGGCGGUUCCCAGUUCUGGCAGUCAGUCAGCCAACUCCUCCCUGUCCUCCGCAUUGGGACUUCUAUCUCGGUCGGAUCGGGAGCUGCGACUUUGUUCUGGUUUGACCGGUGGGUGGGAGAUACCCCCUUCGCUGCUUGCUUCCCGCUCUUCUCUGUCAUCGUCAACCCUUCGAUCUUAGUUGAGAGGGCCCUUAUUGACUUAGGGCGCCUUGCUUUCCGGAGGUCAUUUGGGCCUCCGGAAGCUGCCGCCUGGCAGGAGCUGCUUGAUUGCGUCGCUCUCCACGAGCCGGUAGUGGAUGCUGGCCCGAAUGAGGUUCGGUGGUGUCUUGAGCCAUCAGGUCAAUUCUCCACCAAGUUCCUCUAUCAGGCCAUUGCCCCCUCCACCGCCUCCCCCCUCCCGGCCAUGUGGUCCAUCUGCAUGCCAUUGAAAAUUUGGAUCUUCAUGUGGCAAUGGAUCCACGGAUGGAUCCCAUCCGGGGUGGAGGUUCGCAAGCGCAACGGCCCUAGUACCGGCCUUUGCCCGCUAUAUGGUACCCCCGAAGAUUCGAAUCACAUCUUCUUAUCUUGUGUGUCCGCUCAAUUCGUGUGGAGCUGCUUUAAAGAGGUGGUGGGUGGUAAUUGGUGCUACACCAACUUCCCCGACCUAUUCGCCGAACUCCAGAACUCCCCCUGCCCUCUCGCCACAUUAGGUGGCUUGAGAUUGGGGCACUCGCUUGGACCCUCUGGACGAUCCGCAAUAAACUUGUGA
rnacentral:rRNA from 1 species